UAGGGAAUAUUGCAAAAUGGGCGAAAGCCCGAUGCAGCAACGCCGCGUGGGCGAUGAAGGCCUUCGGGUCGUAAAGCCCUUUUUGAGGGGAUGAGGAAGGACAGUACCCUCAGAAUAAGCCUCGGCUAACUACGUGCCAGCAGCCGCGGUAAAACGUAGGAGGCGAGCGUUAUCCGGAUUUACUGGGCGUAAAGCGCGUGCAGGCGGAUUGGAGAGUUGGAUGUGAAAGCUCCCGGCUUAACUGGGAGAGGUCGUUCAAUACUUCCAGUCUUGAGUGCAGUAGAGGGAAGUGGAAUUCCGGGUGUAGUGGUGAAAUGCGUAGAUAUCCGGAGGAACACCAGUGGCGAAAGCGGCUUCCUGGACUGUAACUGACGCUCAGACGCGAAAGCUAGGGUAGCA
rnacentral:rRNA from 1 species